UGCCAGCAGCCGCGGUAAUACGGAGGGUGCAAACGUUGCUCGGAAUCAUUGGGCGUAAAGCGCACGUAGGCGGUUCGUUAAGUCGGAUGUGAAAGCCCUGGGCUCAACCGAGGAAGUGCAUUCGAAACUGGCGGACUUGAGUACGGGAGAGGAAAGUGGAAUUCCGAGUGUAGGGGUGAAAUCCGUAGAUAUUCGGAGGAACACCAGUGGCGAAGGCGGCUUUCUGGACCGAUACUGACGCUGAGACGCGAAAGCGUGGGGAGCAAACAGGAUUAGAUA
rnacentral:rRNA from 1 species